AAACGCCGGCAGACCAACUAAAUG
rnacentral:siRNA from 1 species